rnacentral:rRNA from 1 species
AUACGUAGGUGGCAAGCGUUGUCCGGAAUGAUUGGGCGUAAAGGGCGCGUAGGCGGCCCGGUAAGUCUGGAGUGAAAGUCCUGUUUUUGAGAUGGGAAUUGCUUUGGAUACUGUCGGGCUUGAGUGCAGGAGAGGUAAGUGGAAUUCCCAGUGUAGCGGUGAAAUGCGUAGAGAUUGGGAGGAACACCAGUGGCGAAGGCGACUUACUGGACUGUAACUGACGCUGAGGCGCGAAAGUGUGGGGAGCAAACAGGAUUAGAUACCCUGGUAGUCCACACUGUAAACGAUGAAUGCUAGGUGUAGGGGGUAUCGACCCCUUCUGUGCCGCAGUCAACACAAUAAGCAUUCCGCCUGGGGAGUACGGCCGCAAGGUUGAAACUCAAAUGAAUUGACGGGG